AUCGGUGGACAGGUGGUGCAUGGUUGUCGUCAGCUCGUGUCGUGAGAUGUUGGGUUAAGUCCCGCAACGAGCGCAACCCCUACUUGUUAGUUGCCAUCAUUCAGUUGGGCACUCUAGCGAGACUGCCGGUAAUAAACCGGAGGAAGGUGGGGAUGACGUCAAAUCAUCAUGCCCCUUAUGACCUGGGCUACACACGUGCUACAAUGGUUGGUACAACGAGUUGCGAGUCGGUGACGGCGAGCUAAUACUCUUAAAGCCAAUCUCAGUUCGGAUUGUAGGCUGCAACUCGCCUACAUGAAGGUCGGAAUCGCUAGUAAUCGCGGAUCAGCACGCCCGCGGUCCGAAUACGUUCCCGGGCCUU
rnacentral:rRNA from 1 species